UGAUUUACAAAAAAGAAUUAGAAAUUUUUAAUUCGAGAAAAAUAAUAAUUUUUUUAAUAAAAAAUAACAUUUAUCUGCUUCAUUCAUUAAAAAUAUGAAUUAAACAAUAUGGGUGAGGUGAAAAAACCUCCGCAUAAGCAAGAAGCAAGAAAAAAAAAGAAAAGAAUCUAAGAACGUUGGCUUUUAGACGAUAGAAUAACAUCUCACUAGUUUACCAGCGCCCUGAUCUUAGCUACCGUCAUCAGAGGGGUUGUGUAAGCAUUUCUAAAAAUAGCACUAUUUUUUGAAUUCCAGAUGACCAUCAGCAGGCUAUAAGACAGGUCAAUCUUGUUUGAAUAGGCUACAAUCUACUUUUCCUUAAUACCCAACUAUUCCAUGUGCAUCUCAUGCCGUCCUCUAAAUUCCUAGACUAAACCCUCUCGGGUCAUCGCAAUUAGAAAUUUACUAGCAACACACUGUAUGAAUAGAUGAUUCACGUACCGUCUCUUCUUCGACCCUACAUAGAUGUGUUUUCCGUCCACCCUCUUUUCAAAAGGUUGUCCGUUAUAGGUGUUCUCUUCUUAACAACAAGUCAGGUAAAUACUUGAACAUUCAGGAAUAUUCCUAGUGUCCAAAUUUUAUUUGCGCGAGCAUUCUUCGUACCCCUAUCAUUCAGGGCCAAA
rnacentral:lncRNA from 1 species